GCUGUGCUCACUUCAGCUGCAAACAGUAAAAUCGGAAUGAGCAGAGGUUAGUAUGACCUUUGUACAAGGGUGACACAGAAAAUUGUGAGGUGCUCCAUUAAAAA
ensembl:snRNA predicted gene, 23253